GAAUUGAUCUGGUCAGAACGAACGCUGGCGGCGCGUUUAAGCAUGCAAGUCGAGCGGCAAGGGCCUUCGGGCCCCUAGAGCGGCGGACGGGUGAGUAACACGUGGACAAUCUGCCCCCCGGCCCGGGAUAGCCCAGGGAAACCUGGAUUAAUACCGGAUGAGACGGGACCCGCGAUGGCGGGACCCGGGAAAGGCGCUGCGGCGCCGCCGGGGGAUGAGUCUGCGUCCCAUUAGCUAGACGGCGGGGUAACGGCCCACCGUGGCGACCGAUGGGUAGCCGGCCUGAGAGGGUGGACGGCCACAUUGGAACUGAGACACGGUCCAGACUCCUACGGGAGGCAGCAGCUAAGAAUCUUCCGCAAUGGGCGAAAGCCUGACGGAGCCGACGCCGCGUGAACGAAGAAGGCCGUGAGGUUGUAAAGUUCUUUUCGGGAGGGGGAACAACCGUGGCAGGGAAUGGCCGCGGGAUGACGUGAAUCCCGGAAUAAGCCCCGGCUAACUACGUGCCAGCCGCAGC
rnacentral:rRNA from 1 species